rnacentral:rRNA from 1 species
AGAGUUUGAUCAUGGCUCAGAGCGAACGUUGGCGGCGCUAACACAUGCAAGUCGCACGAGAAAGGGGGCAACCCCGAGUAAAGUGGCGCACGGGUGCGUAACACGUAGGCAAUCUUCCCUCUGGAGGGGGAUAACCCUCCGAAAGGAGAGCUAAUACCGCGUAAGACCACGACUGCCUCGGCAGUUGCGGUCAAAGGUGGCCUCUACUUGUAAGCUACCACCAGAGGACGAGCCUGCGGCCCAUCAGCUAGUUGGUAAGGUAACGGCUUACCAAGGCGAAGACGGGUAGCUGGUCUGAGAGGAUGAUCAGCCACACUGGCACUGAAACACGGGCCAGACUCCUACGGGAGGCAGCAGUGGGGAAUAUUGGACAAUGGGCGAAAGCCUGAUCCAGCGACGCCGCGUGGGUGAUGAAGGCCUUCGGGUUGUAAAGCCCUGUGGGCAGGGAAGAAAACGUUGCGGUUAAAUAAGCCGCGACCUUGACGGUACCUGCUCAGAAAGCACCGGCUAACUCUGUGCCAGCAGCCGCGGUAAGACAGAGGGUGCAAACGUUGCUCGGAAUUACUGGGCGUAAAGCGCGUGUAGGCGGAUUGGUGUGUCGGAUGUGAAAGCCCCAGGCUCAACCUGGGAACUGCACCCGAAACUACCAGUCUUGAGUGGUGGAGAGGGAAGUGGAAUUCCUGGUGUAGAGGUGAAAUUCGUAGAUAUCAGGAGGAACACCAGUGGCGAAGGCGGCUUCCUGGACACCAACUGACGCUGAGACGCGAAAGCGUGGGGAGCAAACAGGAUUAGAUACCCUAGUAGUCC